rnacentral:misc_RNA from 1 species
GCGAGUUACCGCAAAACUCCAUAACCCUUUGUGAACCUACCUACUGUUGCCUCGGCGUCGCGCUGCGGCUGACGCCCGCCCCUACCCGCCCUACCCGGGAGAGGAGGGGGCGGGCCUCAGCCGGCUGAACCAGCCCGCCAAAGGACCUACAAACCAAACCCUAAACCAAACGUACCUUCUGAAGAAUAAAAAAAAGAAUCAACUUUGAAACUUAAAUAAGUCA